rnacentral:rRNA from 1 species
UACGUAGGGUGCAAGCGUUGUCCGGAAUUAUUGGGCGUAAAGAGCUCGUAGGCGGCUUGUCACGUCGACUGUGAAAACCCGGGGCUCAACUCCGGGCCUGCAGUCGAUACGGGCUGGCUUGAGUUCGGUAGGGGACCACGGAAUUCCUGGUGUAGCGGUGAAAUGCGCAGAUAUCAGGAGGAACACCGGUGGCGAAGGCGGUGGUCUGGGCCGAAACUGACGCUGAGGAGCGAAAGCGUGGGGAGCGAACAGG